rnacentral:rRNA from 1 species
CACUUAGAUGUUCUGGGCCGCACGCGCGCUACACUGAUGUAUUCAACGAGUCUAUAGCCUUGGCCGAUAGGCCCGGGUAAUCUUUGAAAUUUCAUCGUGAUGGGGAUAGAUCAUUGCAAUUGUUAAUCUUCAACGAGGAAUGCCUAGUAGGCGCAAGUCAUCAGCUUGCGUCGAUUACGUCCCUGCCCUUUGUACACACCGCCCGUCGCUCCUACCGAUUGGGUGUGCUGGUGAAAUGUUCGGAUCGGCCGUUUGUCGCGGUUUCCGCGGCUCGUGGCUGAGAAGUUCAUUAAACCCUCCCACCUAGAGGAAGGAGAAGUCGUAACA